UACGGAGGGUGCAAACGUUGCUCGGAAUCAUUGGGCGUAAAGCGCACGUAGGCGGCCUGUUAAGUCGGGUGUGAAAUCCCUCGGCUCAACCGAGGAAGUGCAUUCGAAACUGGCGGGCUUGAGUAUGGAAGAGGGUCGUGGAAUUCCCGGUGUAGAGGUGAAAUUCGUAGAUAUCGGGAGGAACACCAGUGGCGAAGGCGGCGACCUGGGCCAAUACUGACGCUGAGGCACGAAAGCGUGGGGAGCAAACAGG
rnacentral:rRNA from 1 species